GUGAACUGGAGAUGUGAUCGAGGGCAUGGGUCCUGGGCUUCCCCCUCAUGGGUAAAACCAGAGCUGCCGUAUGCCAGCCGCAGAGGCAUGGACGGCUCCUGAGCUCGGACAGCAGAGGGACAGACCAUCGACGCGUUGGCACCGUGGCCAGAGUCUGUUCAAGAAAGGUCGGCAGGGAGGGCUGAGAACUCGGCAGACACACCUUCCAAGGGCCCUGCUGGAACCCCUGGAGCAGGAGGAAGCGGUGAUUCUCCAGGCCUUGGUUUUCUCACUGCUUGGAGGAAGACGAGAAUUCUCAGAGGUCCAAAAAGGCCCUUUUUGCUGCAGUCUUGACAUCUUAAUGUGGAUAGAAAAAGGCCGUGCAGCAUCGAGGACAGGAGGAACUGGAGCCUCAUUGGCCGGCCCGGGGCGCCGGCCUCGGGCUUAAAUAGGAGCUCCGGGCUCUGGCUGGGACCCGACCG
rnacentral:sRNA from 1 species